rnacentral:rRNA from 1 species
CCUACGGGAGGCAGCAGUGAGGAAUAUUGGUCAAUGGCCGGAAGGCUGAACCAGCCAAGCCGCGUGAAGGACGAAGGUGCCAAGCAUUGUAAACUUCUUUUGUCAAGGGACAAAAUCAGGCGCGAGAGCCUGACCGAGGGUACUUGAAGCAAAAGCCUCGGAGAAAUCAGUGCCAGCAGCCGCGGUAAUAAGGAGGAGGCGAGCGUUGUCCGGAUUUAUGGGGGUUAAAGGGUGCGUAGGCGGACUGUUACGUCAGCGGUAAAAGCCCGGGGCUCAACCCCGGCGAGCCGUUGAAACUGGCUGUCUUGAGAUGUCGAGAGGGAGGCGGAAUGCGCAGUGUAGCGGUGAAAUGCUUAGAUAUUGCGCAGAACUCCGAUUGCGAAGGCAGUAUACCGGCGGCGAUCUGACGCUGAGGCACGAAAGCGUGGGUAUCGAACAGGAUUAGAUACCCUUGUAGUC